GGGACCCUACGGGAGGCAGCAGUGGGGAAUAUUGCACAAUGGGCGCAAGCCUGAUGCAGCCAUGCCGCGUGUAUGAAAAAGGCUUCGGGUUGUAAAGUACUUUCAGCGGGGAGGAAGGUGUUGUGGUUAAUAACCACAGCAAUUGACGUUACCCGCAGAAGAAGCACCGCUG
rnacentral:rRNA from 1 species